UGAAGCAGGUUAUAAAACAGUGGUCUGUUUGGGUUCUCUCAAUUUUUCUUCAAUUCUACAGUUCCUGUGUUCAGUUCUCUGAAUUGUUUGUUAUUUGUGUUGCUUUGCAGCAUGAGGCAAAGGCCCUACCAAGGCAUUCUUGAAAGAAGCUGAUUCUCUUGUAAAGCCUGUUGGAGUUUCCCAUUUGUGUAGCCGGUAAUUGAAGUGUUGGCCAUGAGUAUAGGACCUCAUCCCUGCUCCAAGGAGGCAACAUGUGAGGCUGGUUCCUCCUUGGGGGCAGAAUGCUUUAAAUGCCACCCAGUCAUUACUGGGCAUAGGUCUCCAAGUGCAGGCAGCAAGUGUGGGGAAACUGUUGACAUAACUACCAAAUUUGGUACUAGCAGAAAUCCUGACUAAAUUGGCAUCAGAUACCAGAAUAGGGCUAUUGUCACUAAUUAAAAGGGUCUAAUUUAUUCUUGCUUAUGCAUCUAUUUUGCAAGAACAGAAGGGAUUCAAAAGAGGAGAGCAAACUGUUAAGCUCUUCUCACACCCUUUUAUUCAUUUGUCUCUGCUAUUGACUGUUCAGCAAGACUGCUACACAAUUACGGGUCUGAAGAUGAAAACAAAUUUCUUAAAUUCCACACAAAUGUUUUGGCAGCCAUGGGAGAUCACAGCAUUCCCCCGCAGAUAUGGGCCUGGUGCCUGGAGAUAGUUAGGACAGUGUCCAAUUUUUUUUUACCCUUUCUUGUCCUGAAAAAAAAAAAGAGUAUAAGCUUAAUUUGUAAAGUUACAGACUGAAGAUAGGCAAAGGAAGGCUGAGUUAUGCGUACGUACCAUCCUGAGUUAGCAGAACUUCGAAUUAUUUUGGGUCUUUCAGGCUCAAAAGUUCAGCGCUACACGAUAUCCCAACUGUCUCUGCUGCCACUUGUGCAGCGGAAUGGUCCGAGAGCAAUCCAAUUGACACCAUAGAGAAGGCAAUGUAAUGGCUGCACACCCCAGGGCAGCACAGGGCAGACUGCCUGCUCACAGUAGUUAUUUGCAUGAGCUUCGGACAUGGCCAAGGCUGUCUCCAAGUGUGAGAGUGCUGGGUGCUUUAGGCACUUGUUUGUGACCCCAGCUGACCACGGUGUUAAAAGAAGGAGUUAGUAAAAAGGGCAAUAUUAGUGUCUUAUCUCUUCCUGAUAAUUCAAGUACUAAGUGCUUUAAACUACCACAUUUGACUGCUUUUGAAGCAGUCAUGGUUUUGAAUUUGUAUUUAUGAAAGUUGAGCAACCCUUAGAGAAAAAGAUGUAGAAAGACAAACAGUAGGAAUUUAUUUCUCUAUCUCUGACAUUGUCUCUACAUGGCUUACAUGUAAAAGUCUACUUGAAGGGGGAGUAAAACCAGGGUACAGAUGAACAAAAUAAAAAGGUAAAUAAAUUGGCAAAGUCAGUCAAUGAUUUACCUGGUUUGACUGAUGGACCACUUUCCAAAACACCUCCUUACUGAAAUGGUAAAUAAAUCUGUUGUCUUUUUCACUCAGAAUAGCAGCUACUGGCUGCAGUGUAUCAUCUGGCUUGCAUUGCUAAAUGGCUCUCAGAGACUUCAUAACUCUUCUAUGCCUCUGUUUCCACUUACAAGGACAGCUGGCAGUUGGCUAAUUUUUUUUUCAUUUUAGCUGUUUGCUGAAUAUAGUUUUGCUUUCCAAGACAUGCAGCCUUUUUUUGAUUUGAAAUAAUAAUAAAAUGCAUGAAAUUUUUACAUCAAAUAUAAAAUAAAAGGAGUGGUUUUUUUGUUUGUGGUCUGAUUAUUUACUGGGCGAAUGCAUUCAUUUUAAAGAUCUUAAAAAAGGUGAAUAGGAUAAUGUACUUAGUACAAAUAGUAUAAAUUCACUGUGUGGAAUCUGCACUGUUACUGUGAAAUGGAAAAGGUAAAAAAUACCUUAGCUGCUUUCAGAUUAUUUGAUACAUUUCAUUUUAAAAAAUGAACUUUCAAGGCAUAAUACAAAGUUACUGUUGUGCAUGGUUACUGCAAGUAAGUAUUUUUUCUAUUAGAGAUAAAAUAUAUUAUAGAAAUUUAAAAACCUUGAUCUAGGUAUCAGGACUCAAAACACCCGAUUCUGUAGCAAACAACAUCAGGACACAAUAAGGACUUUUAAACUUAAGUAUAGUUAUGUAUAAAUAAACAAGUAAACACCAGCUCUUCAUGCCAUAUUUCUAUAUUUAUUGUGUAUGGUAUGUAUUCGAGUAAGUACAUAUGUUUGCUUUGACUCUUUGCAAAAGUACUUUAAACACAAAUCAUACAAUCACAGAAUGGUUUGGGUUGGAAGGGACCUUAAAGGUCAUCUAGUUCCAAUCCCGCUGCCAUAGGCAGAGAUACCUUCCUCUAAACAGACCAGGUUGCUCAAAGCCCCAUCCAACCUGGCUUUGAAAACUUUUAGGGAUGGGACAUCCACAGCUUCUCUGUGCAACUUGUUCUGGUGUUCUGCAUCUUGAUAGCAAAAUUUUUCUUUCUUAUAUCUAACCUAAACCUACCUUCUUUCAGAUUAAGGCCAUUCCCCCUUGUCUUACCAAUUACUUGCGUAAGGAGUCCUUCUCCAGCUCUCUUUUUGGCCCCUUUAGGUACUGGGGGCAGCAGUUAGGUCUCCCCAGAGCCUUCUUUUCUCCCAGCUGAACAAGCCCAGCUCUUCACAGGAGAGAUCCUCCAGCCCUCAGGUCAUCUUUAUGGCCCUCCUCUAGACUCUGUCAGCAGGUCCAUGUCCUCCUUAUGCUGGGGAUACCAGAGCUGGAUGCUGUACUACAGGUGGGGUCUAAUGAGAGUGGAGCAGAGGGGCAGAAUCCCCUCCCUUGCUCUGCUGGCCACGCUGCUUUCAUGCAGCUCAGGACCCGUUUGGCUUUCUGGGCUGUGAGCACACAUUGCUGGGUCACAUUGAGCUUCUUGUCAGCCUCUGGUUUAGAAACAAGGAUAUCAUGUGAGAUCUUUCAAAUGUUUUGCACAAGUAUUUUGCAGGUAUAUGGCAUCUGCAUCCAUCAACAUUCUAAGCCCACUGCAGGUCACCAAAUUUGUCAGGCACAAUUUGCCCUUAGUAAAGCCAUAUUGGCUGUCACCUAUCUCCUCUUUAUUAUAACCAUGCCAGGUAUGGUCUUUGGAAAGUUUUAGAUGAUGCAAAUAGAUGCAUCAUCUAAAUAGAUGUAAAAAGAAAUAAAAGUCUAACACUGAGAAUCCCUUCUGGACUGAUGUUUGGGAGCUCCAAAUGUAGAAAUCUUUUCAGAAAAAAAAGCACUUGACACAAAAACAUUGAAAAAAAAAAAGAAAAUUUGUGCUCCUAGAAAGUAUUCAUUCUGCUUUUUUAAUGUAGUAAACUACUAAAUAGUGUGCAAGCCUAUAUAUGCUUAUUGAUUUAGAGCAUGAAAUUUGGAUUUCUUAAGAGGAAUGAUACAAAUAUUUUUACUAAUGUUCAAUAACUUACAGAGGAUCUAUUAAAUAAAUUUUGAAGUGUACUAUUGAUAAAGAAUUAAUUGAUUCAAAUUAGAAGAAAUUAGGAAAUUUUCAAAGUAUCACACCACUUCCUACACAGUUUACAAAGCAGCUUACUUAAUUUUGUGCACUGUUGUUCUAGAUGUUUUUCCUAUUUCUAUUGUCCUUGGGUGUUACUGUGAUUAUAAACAAUAACUGAAAAAUAUUUUAAGCUCCUGCUUGAAGUAGGUUAGACAUACUACAAUGCUAAACAAUGAGAACUAGAUAGGAAAGGAAUGGGGGAAGGUAAUAUUUUGGUUGUCAAUGAAAACUGAUUUAGAGAAUUUUUCUUAACGUUUUUAUACAUUAGGAAAUUUGAAGGGGUAGAUGCAGUACGAGUGGAAAGCAACUGUACCAAACUAAGUCUUUUUCUUAAAAGUUAAUAGGCAGGGGAAAAAGUGAUUUCUGGCAGCAAAAGAAAAGAGUCAUUGCCUUAAGAAGUCUGAUGAUACCAUAUGUACAACACAUGGCAGCAAAGCAGUUUCUUCCUACUUACCCAACCUUGCAAUCUGUCACAGCCAAGUGCUGACAUGGCAGCUUGUAUGAAAGGGCACGUGAACAUCAAAGAAAGUGCCUUUGCCUUUGAAAAACCCUUAACUGGUCUGCAUACAGGGCAGUGUUGACACAAAUCUAUCAGCACAAAACCUUAUUGCUUUACUAACUUAAAUAAUGGUUUAAUUUUGUGAAAAAAAACAAAACCAGGGGAAUGAUAUAAAUUAUUAGGACUGCUUUUUUUAAUUUAAGUUGAUCUGAUUUAUCUCUUUAUCUAAUGAGUUGUUAGAAUGUUGGUUUCCUUUUCUGGCUCACAGUGACCGCUCUUAUGACCCUUAUGAACACACUUGCAGAAAUAUCAGAUACUGGUUCUUUAAAAAAAAUUAAUUGUCACCUGUAGUUUAUAUAGAUAGUUUUUUCUGGGAUUUGAGCUGUUUUCUGGAGGUAGUAAAUAGAAUUGAAUACUAAAGAUACAAAAGAUACAUGGCUAAAUAACUAAAUUCUAGUCAAGAAAAAGAUUAAAGAUUUCGAAUCAUUAAUAAAAGGAAAGAAUCUUGCAUCUGAUUGUAACUUUUCAUAUUAAAGACUAGGAGACCUUGUAGCCUUAAUUGUUACAUAUUGUUCAUAAACUAUUCAUGGUAAGUAAUAAAGAUAUAUAAUUAUUAAUCAAAAGAAUUUAUAAACUUAAAUCGGUAAUUAGAUACCAUCUGAUAAUGGUUUUUUCUUCAAUGAUACAAUUUAGGUAUGGCAUUUCAGUAGCAUUUACUUAUUUUCCUUAUUCAUAAGGCCAAGUUUGUAUUAAGAAGCAUUUUAUAUUUUAUCAGAUGAACUGAUAGUUAGAUUAAAUGGACAGAUUUUACAGUCUGAAAAAAAGCUUUGUGUGUGUGUAGGUUUAGCUGUUUCUUUCUCCCCAGUAGCAACAGAGGGGUUAACAAAGAUGCUUUCUCUCUGACCUUGCCUUAGUUAUAUUCUUAGAACACUGCAGAUAUAUUCUCAUUCAUUAAUUAUUGACAUAUUAUUGAACAGCACUGAAUGAAGUCCUUAACUUCAUACUUGGGUAAUGACAUGGUUGAUAGUAAUAAUAAAAAAAUUCUCCCUCUGU
ensembl:lncRNA